GACGAACGCUGGCGGCGUGCUUAACACAUGCAAGUCGAACGGACAGGCCCUGCUUUUGUGGGGUGCUCGAGUGGCGAACGGGUGAGUAACACGUGUGUAACCUGCCCUUGACUUUCGGAUAACUUCUGGAAACAGGGGCUAAUACCGGAUAGGAGCUCCUGCUCCGUGGUGUGGGUUGGAAAGUUUCGGCGGUUGGGGAUGGACUCGCGGCUUAUGAGCUUGUUGGUGGGGUAGGGGCUUACCAAGGCUUUGACGGAUAGCCGACCUUAGAGGGGGACCGGCGACAUGAGGACUGAGAGACGGACCAGACGCCUACGGGAGGCAGCAGUGGGGAAUAUUACACAAUAGGCGGAAGCCUGAGGCAACAACGCCGCGUGCGGAAAGACGGCCUACGGGUUAAAAACCACUUUCGCCUGUAACGAAGCGUGAGUGACGGUAAUGAAUAAAGAAGCACCGGCUAACUACGUG
rnacentral:rRNA from 1 species